rnacentral:lncRNA from 1 species
AUUUAUAUAGGUAUAUGAUAAAAAAAUAUUAACUGCCGCUGUGGUGUAAUGGUUUAUCCGCGCGAUCAGGGUUCGAAGCUCGAUCAAAGUGGCAACUUUUAAUACGUUUAUUCUCUCUUUUUUUCUUGUUUCAGAUGUAACGAGAUAUCUAUCGUUAUUUAACCAUAACUUUAAUUCAUGAGUGAUACAUGUUUUCCUUUAUAUUACAGGAACUUGACGACUUGCUGGCAGUUUUUGGCUUUAAUUGUUUAGUUAGUAACCAUGAAGACGAGCGUAUGUUUGAGGGAGAAAAUAGCACAGAUGAAGUCAUUGGUAACUAAUUAUCAUAAACUCCAAAAGUAUACUUCAGUAAUUACAACAUAACGCCAUGAUAACGGUCAAGAUGGACAACUAGCUCAUUGGCCUGACUCAGUAAUUUCAAUGUUGGAUGAUGCGUUCGAAAAGUUUGGUAUGAAAGAAGACGAAAGCCGAAUUCAUGCAGUUAAUUGUUAUGAUGCCUAAUUGAUGCCGGAUUUGGGCGGAUAAAGCAGCUGUACCGGAAGUCAGAUGUCGCCGCUGUAGGUCAUGCGGAUGACGUAGUGAAUAGGUCAUCCCGUAGCAACGAAGCAGUUAUGUAUGGAAACGCUAAAUGGACAUGGAGACAAUGGAAAUUUUUUCUUGCAGAUAGGUUCAAAAAAGUUCCGAACAUUGCCAAAUAUCACAGUUUUCGCUUCACUGCAGACGAGCCCGGGGUUGUUUACAUGAAAGUUUCUUCGACGGACGAAGCGGAAGUGAGAUUUGUCGUCUGCAAGACUCAUCUUCUAGAAAUGGAUCCAUCUAGUAUCCCAUCGGAACUUUCAGCGAGAGGUCUUAGCACAGAACGCCAUCGGUAUUUAUACAGGCACGUUCGACCCCUUGUAAGGCAGUCGUACCAGAACAGUUUUUGCCUCCCUCUAACAGCUACGGAAUGACGACAAAUUUCAAAAUGCACUGUUUAAGAACGAUAAAUUCAAGUCGCGAAACAUUUUAUUUUCUAUUAAGGAGGAAACUUUAAAUAAUAGUUUAUAUUACAUUCUGGUAACAGCAAUAUGACAUGUUUAUCUGUAUUAAAAUUGUGAUGAUAAGUAGAUUGAAUAAUUUAUUUAAUUUUACAUUAAAAGUAUGACGGUUAAUGUGAUAUAUUAACAAGAUACAUUUAUUUCAUGCCUACUACAAACUAAAUCGUCUCAAUUAAUUGUUUUGACGUCAUCGCGACGUAACUGACGUUAUUUCAUUGACUGUUAAGUUAGAUAUAACAAUAUAUACAUUUUUGGAAAGAGGAUUUGUUGCAGAGAAACAUUAUACAAAAAGCUCAAAAUGUCAAAAAAUCACCUUAAGCCACAUUUUAACUUGAUGCGGCUCUGACAUGUCAGUUGGUGAUGUGCGUUUCACCUUUCAUGAUGUGCAUUUACUUUUGUCGUGCAGUAGAUACGUCAGUUCGUGAUGUGCAUUCUGUAAAUUUCGUGCAGUAGAUAA